rnacentral:rRNA from 1 species
AUGGUCAUUGAUAGCCAUGCUAGAAUCAACUUGGUUUAUAAUAGGUUCAUCAACUUUAUGUUUCGCCACCGUGCAAUGUACUCUCUCUUUCUCUCACUGAUUCUAUCUAGAGAGCAGUCUAUCGAUAAUCUUCAAGGCCAGCACUGCCACAUGUUUCAUGUUCUCGGUGUACAAUAUAUUACUUGGUCAUGUGACUUGCCUAUGCAAGAUUUAAUUAUUACUAGGUUUAAUAUGGUUGCUGCCAUGCGCAAGUCAGCAUUUACUGAUCUAGUUCCAUAUUCCGAGGAGAAGGGCUUAAAUGAUGUAUGUGAAUAA